rnacentral:rRNA from 1 species
AACGAACGUUGGCGGCGUGGAUGAGGCAUGCAAGUCGAACGCGAAAGCCGCAAGGCGAGUAAAGUGGCGGACGGGCGAGUAACACGUAAUCAAGCUACCUGCGAGACGGGGAUAACUUCGGGAAACCGAAGCUAAGACCCGAUGGUCUUCUAGGAACGCAUGUUCCAUGAAGUAAAUGGGCGGGAUCCUCCGGGAUCGCCUGCUCGCAGAGGUGAUUGCGGCCCAUCAGCUAGUUGGUAGGGUAAUGGCCUACCAAGGCAACGACGGGUAGCCGGCCUUAGGAGGGUGGUCGGCCGCACUGGGACUGAGACACUGCCCAGACUCCGUACGGGAGGCUGCAGUCGAGAAUCUUCCGCAAUGGGCGAAAGCCUGACGGAGCGACGCCGCGUGGAGGAUGAA